rnacentral:rRNA from 1 species
AUUGAACGCUGGCGGCAGGCUUAACACAUGCAAGUCGAACGAGCGGCGGACGGGUGAGUAAUGCUUGGGAAUCUAGCUUAUGGAGGGGGAUAACUACGGGAAACUGUAGCUAAUACCGCGUACCAUAGGAAGAGCCAAAGUGGGAUUAGGUAGUUGGUGAGGUAAAGGCUCACAAAGCCGACGAUCUCUAGCUGGUCUGAGAGGAUGACCAGUCACGCUGGGCCUGAGACGCGUCCGAUACUCCUACGGUGUGCAGCAGUGGAGAAUAGUGCGCAAUGGGGGCAACCUGACGCAGCCAUGCCGCGUGAAUGAAGAAGGCCUUCGGGUUGUAAAGUUCUUUCGGUAGCGCGGCGUUAACAACAGAAGAAGCACCGGCUAACUCCGUGCCAGCAGCCGCGGUAAUAC